rnacentral:rRNA from 1 species
GAUGAACGCUGGCGGCGUGCCUAAUACAUGCAAGUCGAGCGAACAGACGAGGAGCUUGCUCCUCUGACGUUAGCGGCGGACGGGUGAGUAACACGUGGAUAACCUACCUAUAAGACUGGGAUAACUUCGGGAAACCGGAGCUAAUACCGGAUAAUAUAUUGAACCGCAUGGUUCAAUAGUGAAAGACGGUUUUGCUGUCACUUAUAGAUGGAUCCGCGCCGCAUUAGCUAGUUGGUAACGUAACGGCUUACCAAGGCGACGAUGCGUAGCCGACCUGAGAGGGUGAUCGGCCACACUGGAACUGAGACACGGUCCAGACUCCUACGGGAGGCAGCAGUAGGGAAUCUUCCGCAAUGGGCGAAAGCCUGACGGAGCAACGCCGCGUGAGUGAUGAAGGUCUUCGGAUCGUAAAACUCUGUUAUUAGGGAAGAACAAAUGUGUAAGUAACUAUGCACGUCUUGACGGUACCUAAUCAGAAAGCCACGGCUAACUACGUG